rnacentral:rRNA from 1 species
GAACGCUGGCGGCGUAGCCUAACACAUGCAAGUCAACUUGACGGAAGGAGCAAUCUGACCGUAGAGUGGCGCAAGGGUGCGUAACGCGUAAGUAACUUGCCCAAGGUAAGGAAUAACGUCGAGAAAUCGGCGCUAAUACCUCAUAAUGCAGCGGAUCCGCAUGGAUAUGUUGUUAAAGGUUUACCGCCUUGGGAUAGGCUUGCGUCUGAUUAGCUAGUUGGUGUGGUAACGGCACACCAAGGCUACGAUCAGUAACUGGUCUGAGAGGAUGAUCAGUCACACUGGAACUGAGACACGGUCCAGACUCCUACGGGAGGCAGCAGUGAGGAAUAUUGGGCAAUGCUCGAAAGAGUGACCCAGCAACGCCGCGUGGAGGAUGAAGGUAUUCUAUAUCGUAAACUCCUGUGAGAGCAGACGAAAGACAGAUUAUUAAUCUGGAUGACUGUAUGCUCAGAGGAAGCCCCGGCUAACUACGUG